rnacentral:lncRNA from 1 species
AUGUUGAGAAGCUGUUUUGGAGAGCACUGCAGUCUUGGACUUCUGGUUAGGAACUGCAAGCAGUAUGAUGUACAUCUUACAAGGAUGAAGGGAACAUAUUUGAUAAGAUGGGAACAAUAUCAGCUCAUGGACAUUAGUCGAAACCAGUUUGAGAACACUGUGGGUUUCACAAGUGGAUCUAAUGUUCAUUUUCUUACAUAUGAUGAAAAGAGGGCUGUGAAUUGGAAAUGGCUCUUGAAGUUAAAUGAGGCUGGAUAAAACACAUAAAUGAAGCAGAAGCUGCUCUGCAUGUGUUAGGACUCUAUCUCCAGAAGCACUGCUGAUCAGCC